AGCGAACGCUGGCGGCAGGCCUAACACAUGCAAGUCGAACGAACUCUUCGGAGUUAGUGGCGGACGGGUGAGUAACACGUGGGAACGUGCCUUUUGGUUCGGAAUAACUCAGGGAAACUUGUGCUAAUACCGAAUGUGCCCUUCGGGGGAAAGAUUUAUCGCCAUUAGAGCGGCCCGCGUCUGUUUAGCUAGUUGGUGAGGUAACGGCUCACCAAGGCGACGAUCAGUAGCUGGUCUGAGGAUGACCAGCCACACUGGGACUGAGACAUGGCCCAGACUCCUACGGGAGGCAGCAGUGGGGAAUCUUGCGCAAUGGGCGAAAGCCUGACGCAGCCAUGCCGCGUGAAUGAUGAAGGUCUUAGGAUUGUAAAAUUCUUUCACCGGGGACGAUAAUGACGGUACCCGGAGAAGAAGCCCCGGCUAACUUCGUG
rnacentral:rRNA from 1 species